UGCAUUGAGUGCGACCCUCGAACAAGUCGAAGUCGCUCGCAGAGCGCAGAGUGCUUUCAUGCUUGACAAGAGAAGGGUAUCUCUCGCAUUAAGAUUUGGGUGAGGAGAUAAAGAGACACUGAAACAAGCAUGCCGACUGGAGAGCCAGCCGGCGCCAGUUGCGUUCAAAAAUCUGAUGACUCACGGUUCUGCAAUUCGCAUUGCUUAUCGCACUUCGCUGCGUUCUUCAUCGAUGCGUCCUUGAUAGG
rnacentral:misc_RNA from 1 species